UACGUAGGGAGCGAGCGUUAUCCGGAUUUAUUGGGUGUAAAGGGUGCGUAGGCGGUAUAUUAAGUCUGUGGUAUAAGUCCGAAGCUUAACUUCGGUGAGCCCCAGAAACUGAUAGACUUGAGUAUGGUAGAGGCAAGUGGAAUUUCUAGUGUAGCGGUAAAAUGCGUAGAUAUUAGAAGGAACACCAGUGGCGAAGGCGGCUUGCUGGGCCAAAACUGACGCUGAGGCACGAAAGCGUGGGGAGCAAAUAG
rnacentral:rRNA from 1 species